CCCAAGGGUUCCCAGACACCAGUCAUUUCACAUCAUACAAACAGAACUCAUCACUUUGGAGAUUCCAGGAGUUUUAGGAGCCAUUUACCAGGAUCCAGGGACAAAGAACAAAUCAAACAUCUGCUUCCUGGGGAGCUGCAUGAGGCCAUGGAGAUAAAGAGAAUGGAAAUGGAGCUGCCAGCACAACGAAGGAACACAGGUUUGAGGUGGGCUGUGCUAUGUAUGAACUUUCCUAGAAGAGAAGCUGGAGUGUGACCAUGAUAUCUGCCAGUGGAAGUGGAGACAGUCACAUCCUCAUUAAGAGGGGGCUCAAACUUCAGUGUGCGUGAGAAUUACUCAGACAGCUUAUUCGGUCACAGAUGGCUGAUUCAGUAGGGCUGAACCAGACUCAGAACACCUUGUCUAUAGGAACCACAGGAGGUUAGAGAAGGGAAGAACCAGCACAGACUCUGGUGGUGGAAAA